rnacentral:lncRNA from 1 species
CGAUUUUUAAGCUGAGCAGACUGGACCUGACUCUUGGAGGAGACUUAGAAGCCUUCAAAUUAUGGAUUGUCCUAAUGGGCCUGACCUUAGACCGGGGUAAAGAAAUCCAGCGGUCAUCACAAAUGAUUUAGGAAAAAAAUUCAGUUGAGCAAUUACUGUGAGAAGUAAAAGAAGAAACUGAGAGAAGUUUACGCUGAAUUAAAG